rnacentral:lncRNA from 1 species
UCGAUACUCCGACUCAACUCCUCCAACGUUGGAACCCUCCACACCUGUGGAGCAAAACUACGCAUAAACCACUAUAUUCAACUAAUGAUGGUUACAAGGGAUAUUUAGUAAAAUCGAAACCUAGAACAUAUAAACCUUUUACCGAUUUGUAUUAAAUAACCUAUAGCUGUUCCAUUACUGUUUUAUGAGUAACUCACAAACCGUCUAACGGAAACUAGCAAAUAAUACAACUUCGGACAUCUAGACAAAAUUGUCUACAACUUUCAUGUUGAGCACAAAAUCAGAUUAUGCCUCUGAAAAUCCCACAUUAAGGAAAAACGAACUGCUGUCCUGAUUUCCGGACCCGGUCAGCAGUACUGUUUUUGCUGUUUCUCCUAAACCGUUGAUCGGAAUCGAGUGAAACUAGCAGCGUUGGAAAGAUAUUGACAAUGACUACAAACUUUAUUUAGGACAACUAACCUGAUUCCUGAUGGUUUAAUACCAGAUUUGAAAAUACGGUUUCAGCCUAGCGUUCGAUAUAAAAUAAAUUCGAAAAAACCGGAAACAGAUCGUCUUAAAUAUAAAUUAGAAACAACUAUAGACUAAAACGGAUUACCUAGCAGUACUAAUGUAUAAGAAAAACGAAGAAUUUGGAAAUAUUCACCAAAUUCCCCAAAUUUCCCUUCUUCUAUCAAAUUUCCCCUUCUUUCCUUCCUUCCUGUUCUUCUCUGCCUUCUCUCCCUCCUUCCUGUUCGUUGCAGGCCAACAGCAGCAGCAGCAGAAACGAAUAUCGGCAGCAACAGCAAGCCGUACACCACCACCAAGGAAGAGAUCAGAUCGACAAUAGCAGGGUUCGGCAGCAGCAGGGAAAUUAACAGAAACAACAGUAGCUCACCAACGACCGGCUGCGGACGACGACGGCUGUGGCGACCGGCGAUGGCUGCACCAGCGGCGGCGCCGGCGAAGAGAGGAACAGCAGCGGCGGCGGCAGAGCGCAGGAGGUGCGGCGGCUAGGGCUACAGGAGAAUCGCUCCUGUUUCUUUUUUUUUCGUUUGUUUUUUU